UUUCCAGACUCCUACGGGAGGCAGCAGUGGGGAAUAUUGCACAAUGGGGGAAACCCUGAUGCAGCGACGCCGCGUGAAGGAAGAAGUAUUUCGGUAUGUAAACUUCUAUCAGCAGGGAAGAAAAUGACGGUACCUGACUAAGAAGCCCCGGCUAACUACGUGCCAGCAGCCGCGGUGAUACGUAGGGGGCAAGCGUUAUCCGGAUUUACUGGGUGUAAAGGGAGCGUAGGCGGUGCAGCAAGUCAGAAGUGAAAGCCCGAGGCUCAACUGCGGAACGGCUUUGGAAACUGAGUAACUGGAGUGCUGGAGGGGCAGGCGGAAUUCCUGGUGUAGCGGCGAAAUGCGUAGAUAUCAGGAGGAACACCGGUGGCGAAGGCGGCCUGCUGGACAGUAACUGACGUUGAGGCUCGAAAGCGUGGGGAGCAAACAGGAUUAGAUACCCGAGUAGUG
rnacentral:rRNA from 1 species